CUACUUUAUCUUGGUUCCAGAUAGAAAAACUAGUCUCCAACUUAGCUAGUAGUCUUCUUCUUAAUCCGGUUUUUAAUCCUAUGUAAGACCCUUUUACUUUGAAGGUAACUUCUCUUCGUUUACUUUGCGAAAGUAUUUUUAAGAGCAUCUUAGCUCUUACUUCAAAAGUAAGACAUGUACGGUCUAGUACUUAAUCAUUGACGUAGGUUAGAGGCUUUUCAGGGCUAACAAAGCUAAAAACUUUACCCUAUAAAUGCCUUAGGGGUACUUAUCCUAGUUUGGAAUAAGGUACGAUAAAGGUAUUCUAAGAAGAAAGAAUAAGAAUUCGUUCGGGAGCUCUCCCGAAUCAACUAGUACUAAAGACAAAAGAGAAAGAAAAGGAAAAACAAACAAAGCUCUUUCUAUAGCAGGCUAAGAGGAAGAUAACUAAGAAAAGGCUAGCUCUACAUGCCUAGGUACACAGAUGUAUGUAUCUAAGAAGAGAGGUAGCCUUGUUAUCCCGGCAAUACGAAUAAUGAUUUGAACAACUUCUCUACUUUAUCUUGGUUCCAGAUAGAAAAACUAGUCUCCAACUUAGCUAGUAGUCUUCUUCUUAAUCCGGUUUUUAAUCCUAUGUAAGACCCUUUUACUUUGAAGGUAACUUCUCUUCGUUUACUGUGCGAAAGUAUUUUUAAGAGCAUCUUAGCUCUUACUUCAAAAGUAAGACAUGUACGGUCUAGUACUUAAUCAUUGACGUAGGUUAGAGGCUUUUCAGGGCUAACAAAGCUAAAAACUUUACCCUAUAAAUGCCUUAGGGGUACUUAUCCUAGUUUGGAAUAAGGUACGAUAAAGGUAUUCUAAGAAGAAAGAAUAAGAAUUCGUUCGGGAGCUCUCCCGAAUCAACUAGUACUAAAUACAAAAGAGAAAGAAAAGGAAAAACAAACAAAGCUCUUUCUAUAGCAGGCUAAGAGGAAGAUAACUAAGAAAAGGCUAGCUCUACAUGCCUAGGUACACAGAUGUAUGUAUCUAAGACAAGUACCUAAUUGCUUUUACACGUUCUCGAGAUAAACGGAGACGGUAAGAUACUCAGCGAAGGAAAAACGCAUACCGUGGGGGUGAGGGAAACCGUCGUAGAUGAUUAAGCCUUGAAUUAAACUUUCGGUAUAAAGCUGGACCUGCGAAAACCCUACGAAGAUUAUUGGUUGCUUACCGUUCACGAGAAGAAAAAAUCUAGGAUAAAGUUAGCCUUGAAAGGCGCAGCUAGGAAAAAAUAAUGCAGAACAAAAAUGAGGAUAUAACCCUCAAUGAGAUGCAUAACGAACUGCAUUUUGGUUAUCACCUAAAUAAAGACAGAAAACAACUUAGAAAAAGUGCCGAGCUAUCUCUUAAACUAUUCGGUUACUAAAAAAAGGCAGAAAGUAUUAUGCCAAUUGGUGGUACAAUUGAUUAGCUAAUGCUUUUUAACCUAGCCUAAAACGUCAAGAAAAAAGACGUCAUGGAGCUGCACUGUACUCGCACUUUCUCCAAGUUCUUAGGCAAAAGAAAAAUAUUCCCGAUUUUAGUGAAAAAAAACCGAAAAACUGGGGUAUAACAUCCCACCUAGAGCUUUCUAUCCUUUCUAGAGGGAGGUUCGGCAUGUAUGCUGAAAGUAGCUUAUGCCGAAAGGUGUCUUAAGAUAUCCCUAGAUACUCUAGCUCAUACCUUAAGACAAAUGAGUGAAAUUUAACUCAUAGGCAAAGGGAGGAAAAGGGCGAUCCUAGCCUUUAGGACAUAAAAGGUAUAGGUAUGCUAGCUCAGGAAUCCAAAGGCUUUAUCACA
rnacentral:rRNA from 1 species